rnacentral:rRNA from 1 species
AGAGUUUGAUCCUGGCUCAGGAUGAACGCUAGCGGCAGGCUUAAUACAUGCAAGUCGAGGGGCAACAGGGGUAGCAAUACCUGCUGGCGACCGGCAAACGGGUGCGGAACACGUACAGAACCUUCCUCUGAGUGGGGGAUAGCCCGGAGAAAUCCGGAUUAAUACCCCAUAGUAAUAUUAGGUGGCAUCACUUGAUAUUUAAAGAUUUAUUGCUUAGAGAUGGCUGUGCGUAUGAUUAGGUAGUUGGUGCAGGUAACGGCUCACCAAGCCGACGAUCAUUAACUGGUGUGAGAGCACGACCAGUCACACGGGCACUGAGACACGGGCCCGACUCCUACGGGAGGCAGCAGUAAGGAAUAUUGGUCAAUGGACGGAAGUCUGAACCAGCCAUGC